UUAACUAAAAUUUGUAUGAAGUUGGAACGUUUGCCUACGUUCGCAGCUAGGGGUGCUGUGCCAGCUCCAUACAAAUUUGAGUUA
rfam:Bombyx mori DNA, contig: Bm_scaf125_contig38637, strain: p50T/Dazao, build 2, whole genome shotgun sequence.